GGGGAAUAUUGGGCAAUGGGCGAAAGCCUGACCCAGCAACGCCGCGUGAAGGAUGAAGGUCUUCGGAUUGUAAACUUCUUUGAUUAGGGAAGAAUUUUUGACCUACCUAAAGAACAAGUCACGGCUAACUACGUGCCAGCAGCCGCGGUAAUACGUAGGUGACAAGCGUUAUCCGGAUUUACUGGGUGUAAAGGGCGUGUAGGCGGUUUUGCAAGUCAGAUGUGAAAUUCCCAGGCUUAACCUGGGCGCUGCAUCUGAAACUGCAAGACUUGAGUACUGGAGAGGAUAGUGGAAUUCCUAGUGUAGCGGUAAAAUGCGCAGAUAUUAGGAGGAACACCGGUGGCGAAGGCGACUAUCUGGACAGUAACUGACGCUGAGGCGCGAAAGCGUGGGGAGCAAUC
rnacentral:rRNA from 1 species